rnacentral:rRNA from 1 species
AUGCUACAACCGUUGAGGCAGGAGCUGCAACCGCCCCCGGAUUUUGCUGGAACCAGUGACAGCGGCGAGCUGCAGGGUGACCAUGGCGGGGAGUGCUGCAACCACGACCAGGUUUGCUGGAACCGACUGGGCGAUUUGCUGGAACCAGCGCCCAAAAGUGCUUCCACUGGAAUUCGUUCUUUUUGUACCAGCGAUUUUUUGCUACCACCACAGUUUUGUUUUGCUGGAACCAACAUCCAAAAAUGCUUCCAUCAGAAUUUGUUCUUCUUGUACCAGCGAUUAUUUGCUACAACCACAAUUUUGUUUUGCUGGAACCAACAUCGAAAAAUGUUUCCUCCAGAGUUUAAUUCUUUGAUGGACCAGCAACAUUUGCUACAACAAUAG